CAUUCCAGGAAUCCUGCAGAGAUGUGGGAGUGCUCGCAAGAGAGCCUGGACACAGGUGCUGCAUGGCUGUCGUCAGCUCGUGUCGUGAGAUGUUGGGUUAAGUCCCGCAACGAGCGCAACCCUUGCCAUUAGUUGCUACGAAAGGGCACUCUAAUGGGACUGCCGGUGACAAACCGGAGGAAGGUGGGGAUGACGUCAAGUCCUCAUGGCCCUUAUGGGUAGGGCUACACACGUCAUACAAUGGCCGGUACAGAGGGCUGCCAACCCGCGAGGGGGAGCCAAUCCCGUAAAACCGGUCGUAGUCCGGAUUGCAGUCUGCAACUCGACUGCAUGAAGUCGGAAUCGCUAGUAAUCGCGGAUCAGCAUGUCGCGGUGAAUACGUUCCCGGGUCUUGUACACACCGCCCGUCACACCAUGGGAGCGGGUUCUGCCAGAAGUAGUUAGCCUAACCGCAAGGGGGGCGAUUACCACGGCAGGGUUCGUGACUGGGGUGAAGUCGUAACAAGGUAACCG
rnacentral:rRNA from 1 species